CGCCCAGUGCGAUAAGGGGACUCCGAGUGCGAGGGCAUACAGUCCUCGCUUUUGUGCUACCGUAAGGUGGUGCACGAAUAAGGGCUGGGCAAGACCGGUGCCAGCCGCCGCGGUAAUACCGGCAGCCCRAGUGAUGGCCGAUAUUAUUGGGCCUAAAGCGUCCGUAGCCGGCCGGACAAGUCCGUCGGGAAAUCCGCCCGCUCAACGGGUGGGCGUCCGGCGGAAACUGUUCGGCUUGGGACCGGAAGACCCGAGGGGUACGUCCGGGGUAGGAGUGAAAUCCCGUAAUCCUGGACGGACCACCGGUGGCGAAAGCGCCUCGGGAAGACGGAUCCGACGGUGAGGGACGAAAGCYAGGGUCUCGAACCGGAUUAGAUACCCGGGUAGUCCUAGCCGUAAACGAUGCCCGCUAGGUGUGGCGCAGGCUACGAGCCUGCGCUGUGCCGUAGGGAAGCCGUGAAGCGAGCCGCCU
rnacentral:rRNA from 1 species